rnacentral:rRNA from 1 species
GACGGGUGAGUAACACGUGGGAACGUACCCUUCGGUUCGGAACAAGUCAGGGAAACUUGAGCUAAUACCGGAUACGCCCUUCGGGGGAAAGAUUUAUUGCCGAUGGAUCGGCCCGCGUCUGAUUAGCUAGUUGGUACGGUAACGGCGUACCAAGGCGACGAUGACUAGGGGAGCUGAGAGGCUGGUCCCCCACACGGGCACUGAGAUACGGGCCCGACUCCUACGGGAGGCAGCAGUAGGGAAUAUUGGGCAAUGGGCGAGAGCCUGACCCAGCCAUGCCGCGUGCAGGAAGAAGGCUUUCUGAGUCGUAAACUGCUUUUGAUAGGGAAGAAUAAGGUGUACGUGUACACCGAUGACGGUACCUACAGAAUAAGCACCGGCUAACUCCGUGCCAGCAGCCGCGGUAAU